GAGACGGCCAUUAACGGGCGAGGGUAGGAGGAGCCAACCAUGGCGUCACUCUGCUCUGCCGUCCCAAUUUAUUUUUUUAUUUUUUUUUAAAAAAAAAGUUUUCAGAGCUCCUCCGAAGAGAAAGAGACACGAAGAAAGUUGAAUUGAAUGAUCAGUCACCAAUACCAUAGCUGAAUGACGAGCUUGGAAGUGAGCUCUCUACUUCACUAUAAUACUACCUCACCUCCAUCGCCGAAGCUCAACUCGCCCAGUCCCUCCCUCGCUGUCUCCCGCUUUCUGCAAUGGCGUCGUUUGGUCUGGAUUCCGCCUUCUCGGCAGUGCGGAACGAGGUCCUUGACUCGAAGGCCCUCUUGGCAGCUCGGCGUUCGUUUCUGAGCUCACCGAGCUCUUUCAGAGUGAAUUUAAGCUCGGGAGCUCGGAGUUUGAAGUUCUGGUGCUGUGAUUUUAGAGUCUCGUGUGCGGUGUCCGAGGUUAUGGCAGUGGCGGAUGAUCGGAUUGCUGAGCAGAAGGAGAAAGGUCGGGCUCUGAGAGUCGGGCUUAUCUGCGGUGGUCCGUCGGCAGAGCGGGGAAUUUCUCUGAACUCGGCGCGAUCGGUCCUCGAUCACAUACAGGGAGAUGAUUUGCAUGUCAGCUGCUAUUACAUUGACAGCAAUCUCAAUGCAUUUGCUAUAUCUUCCGCUCAGGUAUACUCAAAUACCCCUGCCGAUUUCGAUUUCAAACUUGAAAGCCUUGCGCAGAGUUUUCAGUCUCUGUCUGACUUUGCAGCGCAUUUAGCGGCUUCUGUGGACAUAGUUUUCCCCGUGAUUCAUGGUCAGUUUGGAGAAGAUGGUGGCAUCCAGGAUCUCUUGGAGAAAACCAGUAUUCCAUUUGUCGGUACUGGAUCCAGAGAGUGUUGCAAGGCAUUUGACAAGUAUCAUGCCUCCUUGGAGCUGAAUAAAUUAGGAUUUGUGACAGUGCCGAGUUUUCUGGUUCAGGGGUCCAAUGAACAAGAAUCUGAACUGGCAAAAUGGUUUACUUUAAACCAACUGGACCCACAAAGGGGAAAAGUGGUGGUAAAACCAGCGAGAGCAGGAUCAAGCAUUGGUGUAACAGUUGCAUAUGGUGUUGCAGAUUCCCUAAAAAAAGCAACAGAUCUUAUACUAGAGGGAAUUGAUGAUAAGGUGCUUGUUGAGAUUUUUCUCGAAGGAGGAUGCGAAUUCACUGCCAUUGUCCUUGACGUGGGCCCUGGUUCCAAUAGCAAUCCCGUCACAUUGUUGCCAACUGAGGUGGAACUCCGAUUUCAUGGCACAGUUGAUGUCAGGGAAAAGGAUGCAAUCUUCAACUACCGUAGAAAAUAUCUUCCAACACAGCAGGUUGCUUAUCACACUCCACCUCGUUUUCCAGUAGGCGUAGUUGAACAAAUUCGCCAAGGAGCAUCACAUUUAUUCAAACAGCUUGGUCUUCGUGACUUUGCUCGGAUUGAUGGGUGGUUUUUGCCUCCUACUUUCCAUGCAUUGACUUCUGAGGACAGAUUUGGGAAGACUGACUAUGGUACCAUAGUUUUUACGGACAUAAAUCUGAUUAGUGGAAUGGAGCAAACGAGCUUUCUCUUUCAGCAAGCUUCAAAGGUGGGAUUUUCUCACUCAAACAUUCUUCAAAGCAUUAUACACCAUGCUUGCUUAAGGUUUCCAGAUUUGGCAUCAAGCGUCAAUUUAUCAGGCCAUUCCAGAAGAAGUCCCAAUUUUUUGCAACUGACUGAGACUUCUAAAAGAGCUGAGAGAGCAUCCAAAGCCUUUGUUGUUUUUGGAGGAAACACGUCAGAACGGCAAGUCUCCCUUAUGAGUGGAACAAACGUCUGGCUCAACUUGCAAGCAUAUGAUGACCUCGAAGUAGUUCCUUGUUUGCUUGCCCCUUCAUGUGAACAUUCAUCAAGCGCAACUUCACAUGAGAAGGAUUCUGAUUUGAGCUCCUGGGCAGUUUGGACGUUACCUUACUCUCUCGUUCUAAGACACACAACUGAAGAAGUUCUGGAUGCAUGUGUUGAGGCUAUUGAGCCGAAACAGGCUGCGUUUACAUCCCUACUAAGAAACCAAGUGAUGAAUGAUCUCACGGAAGGUUUGGAGAAGCAAAGUUGGUUUUCUGGAUUCGAUAUUGGUGAUGAACUACCAGAGAAAUACUCUUUGAAAGAGUGGAUUGCCCUGGCUCGGAGAGUCAAAGCGACAGUUUUCGUUGCAGUGCAUGGAGGCAUUGGUGAAGAUGGGACAUUACAGUCAUUGUUAGAGGCUGAAGGAGUUCCCUAUACAGGUCCUGGUGUUGCUGCUUCAAAGAUUUGCAUGGACAAAGUUGCCACAUCUCUUGCUCUAAACCAUCUAGAAGAUUUCGGUGUUUUUACAAUAAAGAAAGAAGUAUGGAAGAAAAGGGAUUUGCUGCAAAAGCCAACAGUUGAUGUUUGGCUGGAUAUAACUUCAAAGCUCCAGUGUGAAACUAUUUGUGUCAAGCCAGCAAGGGAUGGAUGCUCUACUGGGGUUGCAAGACUUUGCUCUGCAGAGGAUCUCCUAGUGUAUAUAAAAGCAUUGGAAGAGGGACUUCUGCAAAUUCCUCCCAAUAGUUUUUCAAAGGCACAUGGGAUGAUUGAGAUGCCAAACCCUCCUCCAGAGCUCUUAAUCUUUGAGCCGUUCAUCGAGACUGAUGAAAUUAUUGUCUCAUCCAAAUCUAUGGAAGAAAAAACGCCAAGCCUUGUCUGGGAAGGAACCAGUCGAUGGGUGGAAGUUACAGUUGGUGUAAUUGGAAAACAUGGAUUGAUGCAUUCACUGAGUCCUAGUGUUACUGUCAAGGAAGCCGGUGAUAUCCUAUCGCUCGAAGAAAAGUUCCAAGGCAUACAUGACUUGCUUAACAGGUGGAACAGGCAUCAAUCUGACUCCACCGCCGCCAUCAAUUAUGAGUGCUGAGGCAUUAGAGAAAUGUAAACAACGAAUUGAGCUAAUUGCAGAUACUCUGCAGCUCGAAGGAUUCUCACGUAUCGAUGCGUUUGUGAAUGUGGACAGUGGAGAGGUUUUGAUUAUCGAGGUCAACACUGUGCCUGGAAUGACUCCCUCGACAGUUUUAAUCCAUCAGGCACUGACUGAGCAACCUCCAAUGUAUCCUCAACAGUUCUUCCGAACCCUCCUUGAUUUGUCAUCGGAAAGGUCUCUAUAAAACUUGUAAGUCCAAGAAAUUCCCUAAGUUACUACACACAUAUUCCGCCGACCAAGGACGAAUUGCUCUAGCUAGAACCACAAACACCCUCAAUAGUGUAAAAAAUAUCUCAUGACUACGGGAAAGCCGACAGUUCGUGUUUAAUUUCUCAUCUGUAAACUUUAUUUUCAAUGUUGUUGUGCAAUGUUUGUGAUGGGAGUGGAAUGCAAUCUUCUCGAGUUACCUUGAGAAAUUCA